UGCCGGUCCCCGCGCAACGUCAGGUUGUGAACCCCGUCAGGCCCGGAAGGGAGCAGCGGCAGCAAUCGAUGCGUGUGUGCGGUGUGGCGGGUAUGG
rnacentral:SRP_RNA from 1 species